rnacentral:lncRNA from 1 species
GAUGAUCUGGCCAAGGCUAAGUCUUUUAGGGAAGUGAUCAGGAGAGAACUUAAAAUGAGAUGACUGAUUUUAUUUUUUAAAAAGUUUGAGCAAACAUCAAAAAUAAAAAAAUUAAAAAAAAAAAAGUUUGAGCAAACAGCUGAAUCAGAUAAAAUAAGCGAUAAAUUGCACCAAUGUGCACAAUAAUGGGCAUUUCAUGGAGCAUUCAGAAAUUGUAAGGUGAGAAAGGUAGGAAAGAGAAGUGGAAAGGAAAGGGGGUGGGAUAAAGAAAGGUGUGCUGGGAAGCUUAGACAAAAGUCUUGUCUGCUCACUGAACACACUCAGUCAGCCUCCGCCUGCUCUGGGCACUCGGGAAGCGCUGGCACCAGAGCAGUGGGUGGCAUUCUCCCAGGUGUAUAUCAACAGGAAAAUAACUUCUCCUUCUCUAGGUCAAGUGGAUCACAGACGCUUUGCCUUAAAGCACUGAAAGACAACAAAUACAAGUGCAAUAAGGAAGAACGUCUCUGUGGCUCUUGCUACCGCUCUAUCUGCCACAGGUGUGGGGCAAGAAAAAGAAUCACGUUCUACUCUUCUUUUGAUCAUGGGGACGAGGGAAAAGAAGAAUAACUUUCAGGCUGCGGUCAGGCCUCCAGCUGUUCUAAACAUGGAUUCCAUUCUUCUGUAACACUACAAAUGUUCUCUAUGGAUGCAACUUUUUAGGAGGAUCACUUUUUUAUUAAUGAGGUAAGACAUAUGAAACAUCAUAUAUGCUAUGUAAACCAUUUUUAGAUCUACAAUCCAGUGGCAUUAAGUAAGAUUCUUCCAGGCUGAGAGAGAGAGAGAGAGAGAGAGU